rnacentral:rRNA from 1 species
AGCGGCGUACGGGUGCGGAACACGUGUGCACUGCCUUUAUCUGGGGGAUAGCCUUUCGAAAGGAAGAUAAUACCCCAUAAUAUGUUGAAAUGGCAUCAUUCGACAUUGAAAACUCCGGUGGAUAGAGAUGGGCACGCGCAAGAUUAGAUAGUUGGUGAGGUAACGGCUCACCAAGUCUACGAUCUUUAGGGGGCCUGAGAGGGUGAUCCCCCACACUGGUACUGAGACACGGACCAGACUCCUACGGGAGGCAGCAGUGAGGAAUAUUGGACAAUGGGUGAGAGCCUGAUCCAGCCAUCCCGCGUGAAGGACGACUGCCCUAUGGGUUGUAAACUUCUUUUGUAUAGGGAUAAACCUACCCUCGUGAGGGUAGCUGAAGGUACUAUACGAAUAAGCACCGGCUAACUCCGUGCCAGCAGCCGCGGUAAUACGGAGGGUGCAAGCGUUAUCCGGAUUUAUUGGGUUUAAAGGGUCCGUAGGCGGAUCUGUAAGUCAGUGGUGAAAUCUCACAGUUAAUUGUGAAAUGCAUUGAUACUGCAGGUCUUGAGUGUGUGAAGUAGCUGGAAUAAGUAGUGUACGUGAAAUGCAUAGAUUUACUUA